CAGGACGGUUUGUCGCUGACAAUUUAUUGUCAGAGGAAAGUCCGGGCAACACAGGGCACCAUACUUCUUAACGGGAAGCUAUCCGCAAGGGUAGAGUAGCGUAACAGAAAAUAACCGCCGUCUCCGGACGGUAAGGGUGAAAAUGCGAGGUAAGAGCUCACGUACAGUUGCGGCGACACGGCUGUAGUACGCCUUAUGGGUUGUAAGGUUAUGUAUACCGGCGUUAUCAGGACUGCCCGUCCGAUGCCGGGGGGUAAACCGCUAGAUCUUUAUGGCAACAUAAAGGCCAGAUAAAUGACAAACAUCCGCUAACGCGGACACAGAACCCGGCUUACAGGCCUGCUGUU
rnacentral:RNase_P_RNA from 1 species